CAACUCCCCAGCGUCUAGGGUGACGGCGCCGUGGUGUUCGGGAAGACCGGUGCGAAACCGGAGCGGCCCUCGCCACUGUGAUCGGGUUCCCCGGGUUCCGGGGAGCCGCCGUCCCCUCGCGACGCCACUGGCCAGGAUCCACCUGCCCGGGAAGGCCGGGACCGCGGCACCCGCCCGUCAGCCAGGAGACCGGCCGCGGCAUCUCACGAAGU
rfam:Streptomyces sp. WM6378 P402contig11.1, whole genome shotgun sequence.